GAUGAACGCUGGCGGCGUGCCUAAUACAUGCAAGUCGAACGAAAGGACGAGGAGCUUGCUUUUCUGAUGUUAGCGGCGCACGGGUGUGUAACACGUGUAAAACCUCCUUAUAAUACUGGGAUAAUUUCGGGACACCGGCGCUAAUCCCAGAUAAUCUUUUGAACCGCAUGGUUCAAAAGUGAAAGACGGUCUUGCUGUAACUUAUCGAUGCAUCCGAGCUGCAUUAGCUAGUUGGUAAGGUAACGGCUUACCAAGGCAACGAUGCAUAGCCGACCUGACGGGGUGAUCGGCCACACUGGAACUGAGCCACGGUCCAGACGCCUACGGGAGGCAGCAGUAGGGAAUCGUCCGCAAUGGGCGAAAGCCUGACGGAGCAACGCCGCGUGAGUGAUGACGGCCUUCGGAUCGUAAAACUCUCUUAUUAGGGAAGAACAUAUGUGUACGUAACUGUGCACAUCGUGACGGUACCUAAUCAGAAAGCCACGGCUAACUACGUG
rnacentral:rRNA from 1 species